rnacentral:rRNA from 1 species
GACGAACGCUGGCGGCGUGCUUAACACAUGCAAGUCGAACGGAAAGGCCCUGCUUGCAGGGUGCUCGAGUGGCGAACGGGUGAGUAACACGUGGGUGAUCUGCCCCUUACUUUGUGAUAAGCCUUGGAAACUGGGUCUCAUACUGGAUAGGACCAUGCUGUCGGUGUUGUGGUGGUAAGAUUAGUUUCGGUAAGGGAUGAGCUCGCGGCCUAUCAGCUUGUUGGUGGGGUAAUGGCCUACCAAGGCGUCGACGGGUAGCCGGCCUGAGAGGGUGGACGGCCACAUUGGGACUGAGAUACGGCGCAGACUCCUACGGGAGGCAGCAGAGGGGAAUAUUGCACAAUGGGCGCAAGCCGGAUGCAGCGACGCCGCGUGGGGGAUGACGGCCUUCGGGUUGUAAACUCCUUGCAGCCAUGACGAAGCCCUUGUGGUGACGGUAGUGGUAGAAGAAGCACCGGCUAACUACGUG